CAAAACAAAGUUUUUUAAACUUUUAAACCCUUUGUGAACCAAAACCUGAACAGCUUCGGUAGCUGCAACCCUGCAAAGGGAGCUUAAGCCUGCCGGUAGCAUCUUUGUUAAAACUUGUUUUAAAAACCAGUCUGAACACAAUCAUUUUCGAAUGAAAAAUU
rnacentral:misc_RNA from 1 species